GCGCACUUAGCUCAGUGGUUAGAGCAUCACUCUUGAAUGUUUAGGUUGCAAGUUAAAUUCCUGCAGUGCGCA
rnacentral:tRNA from 1 species